UACAGAGGUCCCAAGCGUUGUUCGGAUUUACUGGGCGUAAAGGGUGCGUAGGUGGCGGGGUAAGUCUGGUGUGAAAUCUCCGAGCUCAACUCGGAAAAGCAUUGGAAACUAUCCCGCUAGAGGGUCGGAGGGGAGACUGGAAUUCUCGGUGUAGCAGUGAAAUGCGUAGAUAUCGAGAGGAACACCAGUGGCGAAGGCGAGUCUCUGGACGACUCCUGACACUGAGGCACGAAAGCUAGGGGAGCAAACCAGG
rnacentral:rRNA from 1 species